CAUUAAGUCCAUACAUACUUUCUUCGCUCUUCUCCUCUCUAGACCCAUCGAUUCCUUGCCUCGGAGAAAAUGCUCAUUAAGUCCAUCCAUUUCCUCUUUUCUGUUCUACUUUCUAGAUCGGUUGAAUCCUUGCCUAUGAGAAAACCAAAAGUAGUUCAUCCCUUCCUCCAGAAGAAACCCUCAUUAAGUUCAUCUCUUUUUUCUUUGUCGUUCUCUUUUCUAGACCUGUCAAUUUUUUGGUCGGAGAAAAUCCUAGUUUAGGCCAUCUCUUCCUCUGAGGAAAAAAACCUCAGUUUAGUUCUUUCCUUCUUAUUAUGCAAUUGAAAGAUCAUUGCUUUAGGGAAUCUUUUUAGAUUAUGGUGUAUUGUGGUAGUACUUGUUUGAUUCAUAAAAUUUUAUGCUUUUUUAUGAAGAUCUCUGCCGUUUUUAAGCUGCAUGUAAAUUUUUUUCUAAGCAACCGAAUCCGUCAUUCAUGGUAAAAUAUUAAUUUACUUGAGCCCUCUUAUUUCCAUAAGUGUUUGAAAUUUCCUAAUAAUUUGCAUGUAAAUCUCUUUGUAAGUAGAUGAUUUAUUUUCAAUUUUAUUCGCAUCUUAUUAUGUCAUGUUAUUAUUCAUUUUAGGUUUGUCUUUAAUGUACUUGCCAUUUGUUAUGCAUGUUAAUCUAUUUGUAAGUAGUUGAUUUAUUAUGCAUGUCAAUGAGUAUUUGAGAAUAUAUAUUUAUAUGUUGUGUAAUUUUAAUGCAAAGGAGAAGGAAAAUUAAUAGGUUAAUCAUAAAAGUUUAUGAUUACAGAAGAAAACAUGGAAAAAGUACUUGACAUUUCCUUAUAGUUGUUAAAAUUACAGAAAGAUAAUAUAGUACUUAGACAUGCAUAACAAAGUUAUUUGAUUGUUUCUUGAACAUUGUCGUUUGUCAUGUCAUUGAUGUGCUUAAAGUUCAAAAGGCUAAUAUUAAUAUCAUUUCCUUAACUUCUAGAUUAAGGCAUGGUUUUAACAUGGAACGAAAUCUAGCAGUUUUGUUUGAUUGUGGAAUGUUGUUGUUGGGGUUUAUUAUUUAUUAAUUGUUAUUAAUUCUUGUAAAUUGCUCAAUUCACGUGAUUUGCAUAUCUCUUUGAUGGAUUAAUGCAGCGGUCGAAGAAUGAGAUGCAUCCAACCUUUGAAGGUUUAAUUAACGUAAUUUUUGUUUUGCUUAUGUUAUGCCCACAACACUCUAUUUUGUUCCUUCACGUGACUUGCAUAUACUUUUGCGUUAAAUAAUAAAUCCCCACACAAAGUUAUAUGUUUUGAUAAUAGGAAAAUUUAGAUGUUGCAAUUUAUAAUGCUAAUUCGUAAAUGUGUACAUGUAGUUAUAUUUUUUUUGAUUGCUAAAUUCACAUGUUGCAAUUCAUAUAGCUAAUCAUUGUGCUUGGUUAUCUCCUUGUUGUUAAAUGUUAUAGUUGGUUAUUUGUAUUUACAUUGAGCUCGUGUUUGUUGGCCUCUUGUUGUAUGUACUGCUCGGUUUUAUCUUAAUGACGGAUGACUUUCUUUGGUAUUCGAUAGUGGUUUAAGUUCUUUCUAUUUAAGUUUUUUUAUAUGAGCAAUGAUGUCGAUAACAAACUAAGAAUACAUUCUAUAUUAAUUAUGUAAUGUUUAGGCGAUGCUAUUUUGUGUGGAAUGCAACCUACAUUGAUAUUACAAUGUUUAGGUGAGGUAAACACUCAUAAUAGCAGCCUACAUCGUAUCAUCAUACUUUUAUAGGAGAGGCAAUCUAUUAUGACUCAUCUAUUUAUAUUCUGAGCUGCAGUAAUUAAUCAUGUAUUUUGUAGCUGAUCUUGAUCUUGUUUAGUUGUAUGUUGUGUGGGAAUAGUUUCUGUUUUCAUGCUUUUAUGCUGAUUUCAAGUAUGUUUAUUUUAGUUUUGUGACACAUUUGUUUUAGUUUGAUUGCUUGUUUGGGUUGUUAUUGUUGUUUUUGUAAUUCAUAUUUUGUAGUUUUCGAGGUUGUUUGAACUAAAUUUGAGUUUUUUUUAUAAAUUUUAAGGUCAAUAAAACGAUAUUGCAAGUAAUUUACAAUGUUCAUAGCAAGGUGUGGUGUGGUUUACUACGUUAUUAGAAUACAAUAUAUGUGACUUUUUAAGUUUCAUCUGAGGCAAUAAAUAUUAAUAAAAGACCAAAAGUUGAGCUAAAUUACUUCAUGAAAAUAUGAAAUCAUGACAUGAAACUGGCAAAGUGAUACAUGAUUUGUUAAGAUCAUUGAUUUUGAUUUAACUAAAGUAAAUAAACUUGUACUUCACAGUGCUUAACAACCCCAUCUUUACCAAUGUUGUGCACUGACACACUGUUAUGAACGCUGUGCCCAUGAAUUAAGAGAGCAUUCAUUUUACAAUUUGUGUAGCAGAUAACGUUGCAAUAAUGACACUUUCACCAACUUUUUUGAUGUCUAACUUUCAUUGCCUUGGCUCUUCCUUUAUUUUAAAAUUAUACUCACCUCCACUUUAAUGAUUGCAUCAUUGUCUGUCACUUUUUUAACUGGUGGCCGUCUAUGUAGCAAAAAACUUUUAUGUGUCUUUUAAUCUGCAUUGUAAAUAUAAUUUCAUCAGUUAGGCAACAUCAUUAUAUCAUUGUAAAUAUGAGAGAUAAUGUAGUGAUAUAACAAAUAAAUUUCUUGAUCUCUUUAUUAAUGUCAUGAACAUUUAUAGCAUUUAAUGUUAUACUGAAGAAAUGAAGAGUUGCAUAUAAUGUUUCAAAAUCUAUUAUUCAGUAUUAUAAAAUGAAAUUUAUCCAAUGUUUAAAAGUUAUACCUGUUUAUAAGUUGUUAAAAAAUUUUUGUAAACAAUAUUGUUUGUAAAGUUUUUGCUUUGUUCUUGCUCAUUCUCUAUCAAAGUCUUAAGCCCUUUCGGUGAAGUAACUCUGGAGACAGCAACAUACAACUGGCCAUGCGUAAAACAUGGCUUUGGAAUGUAUAAUCCCACAAAAUUUAAUGUCUGUCAUUGGCUUUUAUUUAUUGUCAUUACAAAUGAUGGUCUAUUUGGAAAUUGCCUUCUCUUCAUGUGUAAUGGCCAUUUUGAAUCUGUGUUUGUCAAGACACAUCUUGGAAUGAAGUGCUUUGUUCUGAUAUUAGACCCACUGAUUAUUAUUGCUUCUAUAAUUUAUUUCAGCAAUUGUGUUACUAUCAUCCUCGUGCCAUUGCAAAGACCUUCUGUUGGACAUAGGUUACACAACAACAUGAUUGGAGUCCCAAAUUUUAGUUUUAUUUCAUGAUUUGGCAUUCCAGAAAAUGUUAAUAAAUUGAGGAAUUCUAUAGGGUAGCUUGCUUCAUUUUCCUACAGAUUUGGAGAAGUCGCGCAAAUGAAAUUUGAGCUUAAAUAAGUUACUUCUACACCUUGUAUUUUUUCUUGAAUGAUGUCAUUUAUAAUAUCUACAUUUUUAUUCCGUGGAGUCAAGAUUGCUCUCUCUCUUGUAAAUAGUCUGCAUUAGAAAAGUUUUUUAGGAGAUUUGGAUAAGUCUGGGAUGUAAUAUCAUCCAUUGGCUUUCCAGUUGAAUGAAUAAUGAAUUCUUUUGUUAUCUCAAUUAAUGGCUCAUCAGUAGUAGAUGCAUCUUCUAUUGAUUGCAAGUCACCAUUCCCAAGAUUAAUCACUCAUCUGCCGAAAUCAUCUAUUGUCAUGUUGUUAUCUUCAGAUUGUAUUUGUUGUAGCCUCAUGUUUUGUGUCAAAGCAAAUAAUUUGCAUUCAUUCCAUAAUUUAGAACUACUAAUUGAUGCAUUCAAUAUGUCAUGCUUGUUACCUCUUGGCAAUGCUGGUAAUAUUUGCCUAAAAUCUCCACCUAGAACCAUGGUUAGCCCUCUAAAUGGUUUGCUUUGAGCCAACUCAUCUUGGCUUCCCAAAUGUCUCGUAAUGUAUGAUCUACCGCUUCAAAAGCAUGCAUGUGAACAAUUAGAGCCUCAUCCCAUAUAAUUAAACUUCAAUUAGCUUCAGGAGUUCCUGGUUUGAUUCUGUAUGUUGAUAUUCUUUCAAUAAAAUUGGAAUUUGAAACUUAAAUGGGUCAUUCUUCCUUUAGGUAAUAACACAGAUGCUAUGUCAGAUGAUGCAACAGCCAAAAUAAUUUUGCCUUCAGAUCUUAGUCUUGUUAUUAUGGAUUUCCAAACAUAAGUUUCCCAGUUCCUCCAUGUCCAUACAAAAAAUAUAGUCCAUCUACUUUGUUAUUUACAGAUUCAAUUACCUUAUCAUAGACUCUCAUCUGUUGGAUAUUCAUACCUUUAAAGAGCUUGUCAUGUUCUUCUCUUAGUUGAUCUCUGUCAAAGUUUAAUUCUUCACCAAUUACUUUGUCUAUACAAUGUUUCAUUAAAUUAUUGUCUGACUAUGGCAUUCCAUUAAAUUUACUAAGGCUUUUACCAUUUUGUCGCAGUAAGUACUCAAUUUCUACUAGAGUUUGAUUUUGCAAUUGUUGGCCUUACAUUAUCAAAUUUGACAUAUGUAACAAUCUCCUUUGCAUUUCUAAAAUCCCCUCUGUAAGAUACCUCCAGUUAUCUUCCCAUAAUUUUUGAGGGUUAACAACUUGACAAUAUAGCAGAAGGUUUGCAAAUAUUUGUCUCAUCUACCGGCCUGAUGCGGUAUAUGAUGCUUCAGUCAACAUAUAUUGUCAUUCCAUGUCAUCUUCUAGCAAUCGCAGAGCGGUACAUGUUUCUCUAAAUGUAUCAUAAAUAAUGCCAUCAUGCCUAAAGAUAUCUUCAAAACAUGUAGGGCCUCGAACAAUGUUUAAAAGUAAGCGUAGAUAAAACAUCUCACCUGUUGUAGGCUGUGCAUAAACUACUAUGCCUAUACUUUGUACCUUUUCUCUAAUCUUCCAUUUUCUUUCAUGUUUUCCAUACAAAUUUUGAUGGUUAUUCAGCAUAUGUUAGUUUCCUUGCUUCUGUGUAUAAUUUACUUGCUUCCAUCCAUCCCAUGAACUUUGUUUGAUUAUCUUCAAUACGAUUUAUAAUUUGUCUCAAGUCAUCAGUGUCUUUGUAAAUGAUGGGUUGUUGUUCAGGCAGAUGAAAUGGAAGUCUUUUCACUGUAGGAAAUCUAUGGAGAAUGUCAAAUCCAUAAAUUCUCCAUAUGGUUUUUGGUGCAGAUAAAUAUCUACAAUACAAAUAGUAUUGUAUCUCAUCUAUAGGCAGAUAAAUUUUUGAUGUAUUUGCAUCUCUCUUUGAUGAUUGGAGUGAUAUGGAAGCAUGAUUUGGUCCUUUAGUUAUAUAUUUAAACAAAUAUUUGAUUGAUCGGCCUUGGUUACACCAUUCAACAUUAAUGUGUGCUUGCUACUUCACUAACAACUUGCGAUUAUAAGGCACAAAAUAACCAUUGUCUAAUUUUUUUUCCCUUUCUUCAGCACCCAUAUAUCAUCAUUUGCUCUUCUCUGAUAUAUUGCAAAACCAUUUUCUUCUAUAAUUGUUUCACUGAUGUACCUUUUUGGAAAAUGCUUGGUACAAUUUUUAUCUUGCAUGCAUGGAGCCGAUGUCGCUGCUUUACCACAAGGACCAUGUAUCAUAAACCAACUUACUGCUUCAUAUCCCAAUGGAUCAAUUUAUUUAUCAGGUAUUUCUGCACUGAUAAUCUUAUCAAUCGAAGAAGGUGUUGGAUACUUAUUUUUGACAUCUAGCCAUAGUAAUAUGUGAGCAUGUGGAAGUCCUCUUUUUUGGAAUUCUAUUGUAUACACCACUACAUGAAAUAUGUUGAAGAAAAGAUUUGUUAUUAGACUGCAUAAAUGUUAUAAAUUCAUAUCAUUCAUUUCAUCAUAAUUAUAAAUAAAUUAGCUUGUUUUGACUAUAGUCUUAGAAAUAGUGUGCAAGUGGCCAUAAAUUUAUUAGUUAACUGGUUUGAAUAGCUAAACAUUUGUAAAUGUAUUGAUGUCAUUUGUAGAAUACAUCACUACACAAAAGAUAACAAUAUUAUAAUAAUAUUAAAUACUACUAUUUAAAAAAAAAUUCUCUAUAAAUAUUCUCAAAUAUCUAGGAACUGUAAAUAUUUUAGGGCUUUACAAAUUAAAAUGAGAUAUGAGCACAUAAUAAAGCUUGUAUUAAUAAUAGAAUAAACAAUAGGUUUACUUACAUUAUGUAUAAUCAUAAAAGAGUUUAUUUAAUAGUCCUUUACUUGAAUACUAACCUGCUUAACUUUUACCGAAAUGCUCCUUUUUUGCAAAUCCUCCAUGAGAUGGUCCAACUUCAUCUUGAAUACUCUCGCCACAAUAUCAGGUCUUUCUUCUACUCUCUGACCACCAAUUUCAUCUAAGCAUGCUUUUAUCUCCUUCCACUUUGGAUUUGAUGUAAAAGUGAUAAACAAAUCAGGAUUCCCCAAAAUACGACAAUGAACAAUGACAUCUUGAUAGUUUUGGGUCAUGUAUCAUGGACCUCUAGUGAAAGAUGAAGAUAAAAUAAUUCUCUGCCCAACUUGUGGACCUUCUAUAUCUGCUCUGAACAUUGCAUCCUUCAAUCCACAAUAUAGCUCUGCUCUUAUCUUGCUCUGAUUCCUUUUUAUCCAGUGAAGUCUAUCCUCUUCUAUGCAUGUUGCAAUGUCUACAAUGUAAGUUUGAAAUAAUUUUCCAGAUCUUAUCAACGUAUGUCCUUCAUGCAAGCAUUGUUGAAUUUUAAAAGCUCCAUAUUCCAUCAUUGUGACGCCUUUUCUCUUUUUAUAAUCAGUCUCUCCUAUUUGUAUGAAAUUUUCACUCAAUCUAUAACCAUCUUCUCCAUAUGGAAAUAAUAAAGGGUAUUGUAAUGCCAUAAAAUUUGGAUGUAAAUCACUAAUUCUUAUCAAUCACAGACUUCUGUUAUCAAUGAUAAUAUAUCGAUGGCCAAUCGUUUCAUCAAUGUCACUAACUAUAAACCAGCUAUUUCUGAAGACUUUGGCAUAUUUUGCACCCGACCAUCUCCACUCCUUGAAGCUUUCAUUACCAUUUUCACUGGUACUAAAUCAGCUUCAUCAAUUCGGUCAUGUACCAUUCGUGUACUUUUAACUAAUUCAUUAUAAGUAUCUAACAUUGCUAGAAGUCCAUGCACAAUUUGAGUUUUCAAUUGUUUUGAGCCGUUAAUAGCUUCCAUUCGAUUUGCAAUCUUAUUGUCUGUAUCAUAAAUGUACAACUGUAGGAAUUUUGGACUAUUUCCAGGAAUGGAUUUGAGUGAUCCGAUCAUGUGAUGAUUCUAUCCAUUCAAACGAAAACAGUAUGGGCCUCGGCCAUUGUUGACUGUAUUAUCAAUUUUUCCUCCACUCGAGGUAAAAGCAGACAUAGCAUUAUAUGAUCUGAUAUAUUCUUUAUAAUGUGCACUCGUGCGACCCGCUGAUGGCGAUAAUAGCUCUUUAAGUAAAUGUGGUGGUUGUUCAAGCAAAGGAAACUUCACUAUUCCUUUCCGACAACAUAAAGAAAAAGUUGGAUUUUUAGAGCAUUUGGAUUUUUCAACUCUCUCUUCAUACCAUAGCGUUGCAUGACAAUGCUCCCAAGUCCAAGUGGGAGGACCAAAGUCAAGAAUAUCUUCAUCAUCCCCUGCUGUAAAAUUAUGUUUAAGUGCAUUGUAUGUUAACAACAAUGCAUUAAUUUUAGUUAUAUGAGUUUAUAAACCAUACCCUUGGACUUCUUCGUGAUCCUUGUCUGAACAGUACAAUUAUUUCCAUUGUUGAGAUCAUUAGUUCUUCUCUUAUUUCUAAAUGUAGAUGUAGACUGGAACUAUAGAAUGUAGUUGGUCCACAUGACCAACUACAGUGAUUAAUUUAUGAUUUUCCUACCUUCUUCUUUGUCUUGAUGUCAACUUUUUGGUAACCAUAUUUGUUACUAUAAAAAUUAAUUGUUUAGUAUAGUGAUAUUUGAAUUUACUAAAUCUUUCAUUAAAUGGUUGUUUACCUGUAGUUUGUCGAGUGUUGUUGGAGAAGGUAUGAGUCUCAAUUACACCAUCUUGGAAGUUGUACGAUGAAAAUGUUUUAUUUUGAUGAAUCAUCUUCAUACGUGAUUGUACCUAAAAGUAAUGAUCAAUAUUUGUAAUAUUAUAAAGUUUCGUCAGUAGUAGUUUCACACAAUUGACUAAACAAACUGAAAUUAAUUAAAGUGAAGUGAAGAUAAUAUUAAAGGCUAUAAUUAAGGACACAAUCUGGAAUUACCUGGUGUGCUAAGAAAAUUUCUUGUUGUGUUUUGAGUGAUGCUUUUUGAAUUUCAAAUUGAUUGUCAAAGAUAAUUGAUGUGAUUAGUAUUAUAACUAUGAAGGUAUGAUAGUUGAUUAAGACAGAUAGAGAGAUUUCCCGAAAUACUAAGACUGGUAAUAAUUGUUUACCAAAUUUAUUUUGUAUGUUAUUCUGCUUGUUAAUUUAUUUUUAAGUAGGUGAUUUGUUUGCCUUUACUUAUGCCUGUAAUAAUUGCAUGUACAAUUUCAUUUUUUUCUUUGUCGAUCAUCUAUUUACCAUUCUUGUUGCAUGUUAAUAUCUUCAUAAGUUGUUCAUUUCUCUAUUAUUGAAUUUAUUCAUGAGCAUCACUUCUCAUACGUAUAUGAGAUUGUAUUGUUAUAUGCUGAUGAAUUUGAAGGCAAAGUAAACUAGAAAUCAUUAGUGUAUUAUUUUUAUUGGAUUGAGUAUUCCAUUAUUAAUAACUUGAUCCAUCAAAAAUCAGCUCCUUCCUAAUAGAUAUUUGUCGUUUUUUUGACCGCGCGUUCCUCUCUUUGUAAGUAAUUGAUUCUCUAACAUUUGUCCUAAAUUGUUGCGGUACUUUAGAGUUCUGAUUUCCAUAAUUGACUUAAUUGGCAAGACUAAAUGCAUAUAUUCUUCAUUUCUCAUAAAGAACCUGUUUUGUAUGUUUGAGACUUACUUAUUUAAUUAAUUUCUCAGUUGAUUUAUCUAUUAUUGUAUUCAUUCAUUAGGAACAUGAGCACAUGAGAGUAUAUAGUUUUACGUUAUUGGGGAAAAAUAUAACUACCACCAUAAUCAGAACAUAACAUUAUAUGUCUAAUAAGAAUUAAACAUGACAUACUUGCUUAACAUUGGUUCAUAGCUAUUCAAAUUACAAAGACUUAAUAUAUUCAGACAUGCAUAACGAAGUUACUGAUGUCUGUGGAUAUUAAAAUCUAAGUUGAAGUCGCCAUAUUAGUUUCCAAACGUCUUUCUCUUGUCAUUUGCCUUUGUUGGACAAUCCUGAUUUAGUGCUUAAGCUCUCAAAAAAGUGUCUUCAUGUACACGCUGCAAAAUACUAUCUAACAAACUAAUUAUUCUUCAGCUUCAGCAAUUUUUUGCUUUGAACUCUGCCUUCCAAUCUUCAUCUUUUUACAUUCUGCAGUAAACAUUUAUUGUACAUAGCUAAUUAUGAGUUUUAACUACUUUUAUUUACAAAAAUAUAAAAUAAAUUUAGAAUUUACCUUCUUCUUUUGGUGCUUUGAUUGUUUCCUGAACAUUGUCAGUUAGCAUGUCAUUAAAGUUGCUAAAUUUUAACAGUCUACUUUUAAAUUUUUUUUCUCAACCUUUGGAGUAAGUAGUGAUUUUGAUAUUGGAGUGAAAUCUGGGUGUUGUGUUUGACUCUGGAAUGGUGUUGCUAGAAGAAUCUCAUCAGUAAGAUUUAUAAUUGUUGACUCUUGCGAAGUCUAUAACCAUACAAUGAAAUAAUUAAUAAAAUAUGUUAUUAAUGUCUAUUAAUAUUAAAAAAAAUAGAUUAUAAAUCUUACAAUAUCCUGGCUUGUGUUGUUGUCUUCAUGUUGCUUGUUUUCAUGAAGUCCAUCAAUAAUUUUUGAAAUUGUAAAUACCUCGUUACCUUCUGCAUAAUUAUAUCUUGUUGACCUCACCUGAACCUUUGCUGUCUUUCCAAUUAUACUUAGGAUAAUAUCAGGAAUAACUCUUUCCUAUUUACCUAAAGCAUGUAAAGAAUCCUAUUACAUACGUUCGCUGAUACUUAGAAUAUCAAUGUUAACUUAUAUGCAUAAAUUAAGUACCUUUUUUUACUGUUUUUUUCGAGAUCAUAAGCAGCAAUUUUGAUCAAUUUUUCAGCUUCUUUGUUGAAGAGUACAAAUAUCGUAAUUGCGGAAUAAUCUUUCAAUUCUAUUGUAACUUUGUACCUGAUUUAAAUUUACAUAGUUAUUACCAUGGAAAAAAUUAAAUAAAUUAUCCUGUGCUUUUUAAUUAUGAAUAUGAAAUGUAGCACUGAAUGUGUACUUUAUUUGUACCAUUACUUCCUUAUUACAUGACCUACACGAAACUUUCCUCAAAGUUGAUGGUGUUUUUUUACACAAUCUAGACAUCCAACAUAACGCCAAUCUAACUCCUUCACAACUCUAAUGAUUUGCACAUCGCAUAUGAAAAAGUAUUACUAUAAUUGAAAGAGCUGGUGUUAGCAUGCAGUUAGCAAUUAUGAAGUUAUAAUUUGAAUAAAUCAAUACAUUUGUAUUACCUUUUUGAAUUUCCUGCAGCAUCAAAAUAUAUAACUUCAUAUAGUCAUUGGUUGAGAACCCUUUAUUGAUUCUUGUUGCUAAUUGUUAUUGUUGCUAAUUUGUGCUUACAUUGAGGUAUUGGUUGUUUGUUUUCAGUGGUAUAUAAUAUAAUGCUCGGUUUGAGCUUAAUGACAGAAGGCUUUUUUUGCUAAUCAAAUUUGGUAUAAGUUCUUUUGCUUUAUAUUUUUUUAGGUGGGCAAUGAUGAUGAUAAGAAUCCGAGAAUGCAUCCUAUAUUAAUUGUGUGUUAUUAAUUAUGUAAUACUUAGGCGAGGUAAUUUUGUGUGGAAUGCAACCUACAUUAAGAUUACAAUAUUUAGGUGAGGUAAUCCCUAAUAAUAGCAUCCUACAUUGCUAUUACAAUGUAAUAUCAAUACUUAGACAAGUUAAUUUUUUUGUGGAAUGCAAGCUACAUUGAUAAUACAAUGUUUAGAUGAGGUAAUCCCUCAUAAUAGCAGCUUACAUUGCAUCAUCAUCAUACUUUUAUAGGAGAGACAAUCUUUGUGAACAAUUUAUUUAUAUCCUGAGCCCUAGUAAGUAUUCAUAGAUUUUUGUGAUGAUUUUGAGCUUGUUUAGAUCUAAUUGUUAAGAGUUGGAUUCAGCAUGUAGCUUUUAUGACCAAUCUAUUUUUAUGUACUCAACAAUGAUAUAUUUAUAAUUUGAAUAAAUUCAUAGAUUUAUAUUACUUGUGAAGUUCCUGGAGUAUCGAAAUAUACAACUUCAUAAAGUGUUGCUUCUAUAGCCUUUAUUGAUUCUGGUCGAGUAUCGGAUAAAUUCAUAGACGAAGUCACUAACUGUAAGUUGUUCUCAUUGUUAGUAUUCCUACAUGUAUAAUGAAAAAGUUAUUAUCAGUAGUAUAGAUAGUUCCAGAUUCAUUAAUUUGAAGUUAUGUUUCACAAAGCUUUAAUAAUGUAUUGUGUAACCUUCUUACCCUUGUAGUAAUUUUUGAACUCUGGCUUCAUCAAUAUUGAAGUACAUUUUUGUUGUUGUCGUUGAUAAAACCAUAUUGUUACCUAUGUAUCAAUACAUGUAUAUAAAGGUUAAUGAAUAUUUAUAUUUCUAAAUAUUAAAAAUGUAAUGCACGUCGAUUUAAAUUAUACCUCUGAAGUUUUUUUUUACUAAAACUCCAAUCACCACGAUAACAACAUUGUUUGUAUCAUAAUCUUUAAAGUUGGAGUCAAAGUCAAUAGCUAGUUUAUUCUAUAAUGUGACCAUACACUCAUCAUGCCUAUAAAAAAAUGAUUCAUAAUAAUCUAUUAAAAUGUCUUUGAACUUGUCAUUAAGUUAUAGCAAUACAAUCUUACUCUUCAUCUAUUAGUUUAAUAGAUCUACGUGUGGACAUUUUCCUAGAAUUUGUUGACUCUCCUGUCGGAUAGACUUCCUUCACAAUGCCUGCAAUGUCUGUUAUAGUAUAUUCAUAAUAACUUAGUAUUCAUGUUCAUGUUCAUGUAUUAGCAAUUGUAAAACAAAUAAGGCCACUAAUUACCACCUCUUAGAUAAAUAUUCUUAUUUUUAUGUAAGUAUAGUUCAUUGAAAGGAACAAAGUCAAAUUUAUAUUUUGCAACACUGUCAUCGUCUACUUGGAGAACUCUAACCACUGUUUGCCUGCAGAAACAGAUGAGUAUUUUGCUCUCCGUUAUUUAGUAAUUGCCAAAUGUGAUAAGUACUCUGAACUUUGAUAUCACAUGUAUUUUUCCCUCCUCAAGCAAUGAACUGAACCUUGAUAUCUCAGUAUGUUUGAUUGUCCGUUGACUGUGAUUGUCCUAUGCAAUUGAAAUAUGUAUUAUUGUUCGAUCAAAAUGACGUACAAAUAGUAAUCAACAUGUUAAAUUAAAUAUAUCGUUGCUUACAUUUUCAUCUAAUAGUGUUAGAUGCAAGCCGAAUAUAUCCCCAUUCUUGAUAUUGACAUUGUCCCAAAUUCUAGUCACCCUUGCCUUAAUAAUUGCAUCGUUGUCUUUGGUAGUUAAAUUACCGAAGCUUGUGUAGUUAGCAAGCGUCAUCUGUGCGUCCUAUAAUCUGCAGUUAAACAUUUAUUUCAUCAGUUAUCCAACAUAUAUUCUAUUUUUAAGAUAUGAGAUAGUGCAGGAAUAUCAAAUACUUUUGGUUUGCAGGACAGUGACAUGAUUAACUUUGUUGGCUAUGUAAUUAUCUAUUACUUAUGAUUUACAUGAUAGUGACAUGAUUAACUUGGUUGGCUAUGCAAAUGGCAAUAUGACAAACUACUUGGAUAUGUAAUUUCUUAACAGCGUCAUAUCCUACAUGAUAAACUACUUGGAUAUGUAAUUUGUUAAUCGCGUCGUCUCCUAUAUGGCAAACUACUUGCCACUGACAAGUAUUGGCUGCGGAGAAGGAAGCGGUAGGUGUCGUCAAUUGCAGGUUGGUGAAAUGAUCAUGUUUCAGAAUUUCAGUUGAGAACAUUGAUAUUGAUAAAUAUAUAGCCUUUGAAAGCAUGUAACAUGCAACAUGCAACAUUGAAAGGAGCAAAGAUCAACAUGCCAAAUUACUGGGAUUACUGGGAUUAUUUAAAGGAAAUAAACAUGAAUGUAAUAAGUUGUGGAAUUACCUGAGCUAGGGAGAACAAUUUUUUGUUUGAGUUAAUUAUGAAUGUUAAAUAUAGAUGUUUCUCCAUCUGAGGGGGAAAAUCAGUUUGGAGGGAAGUUCAAAUAGAUGAGAGAAGAUAGCUGGGGGAGGUUAUUUUACUAUUUUAUGUUUGAAUUUAACCGCUUAAACGGGGCACUGUAGCGGUUUGAACAGCUAAGGAACUUUGAUUUUGUAAUUUCCAGAUUUAUUAGAAUUAUUAGAAAAAAAAGUCAAUACAAGGCAAUAUAAUAUUCGGUUUA